rnacentral:lncRNA from 1 species
CUCACCUAAGGAUGCGAGCUAGCAGGUCUUGCAGCGGCUAUCACGCCCCUCACGCCGCUAUCUCUGUGCAGCCGACUGAGGAUCCCUAGUCGCAUAAGGCUGUGCCUGGCCUGUUGGCGUCCCUGGCAGUUGUUGGGUUCUGGCGGUUGUUGGGUCCCUGGCAGUUGUUGGCGGUUGUUGGGUUCCUUCAUUGAAACUGCACUAACUGGGCUUCCAGUCAGCGUCAGUCAGCGGAUCCUUGGGCCGUGGGGCAGCCGCAGGUCGGUUAGGCCACCAGGGCGGCUCUCGUGCCAGUGAGGCCCCUGAGAGCCCUUUGGUCAGACAGAGGCUAAAUCUGAACAGUCAGGCGGUGAGAUUAAGCAUAGUCAGGGAGUUCGCCAGGAGCCAGCGUUCCUCAGCCUCCACCACGUCAGUCACCUGGUCAGCCAGAGGGCAGCUGGGGCGACAUCCAUCUACCAAGAAGGUGAACAGGCCUUCACGAUGACCAGAGACAGAAGCCCCUGACUUGGCUAAAGAUACUUCUGCUCUCCCCAUCCCCACAUCCUCUUUCAGUUACGCAUCACCUCACUCCUUCUGAACCAUAUGGUUCUGAUGUCAGAGCCAGUGUAGUAAAGAGCUUCUGCUGUUCCUGAGAACUGUUGCUGCUGGAAGUGAUGCUUCCACUGCUACAGCUGGAGUGAAACAUAUCAGAAAGAAGCAGGCGAAGAAAGCUGCAGCGAUCAGAGCAAAAAAGAGCUCUAAAGUCAGAGCAAGCCAAGAACUUGAGAUGUCUCUGAAGCCUGAGGAACCAGGAAAACCCGUAGUCGCCACAUUUUCUGAGAGCCGGAUAUUGGAAAAGCAAGAUAAACGAGCCAGCUAAGCCUGUGGAACAUGCCUCAUACCUGGAGUCGCCAUUAUCCCUGGAAUUACAAAGAUCUGCAAAAUUUAUAGCGCUCACAGAAACCCUGGAGGCUGUAAUAAACCUGGAGCCCCCUGGACUCUCCUCAGCUCACAAAACCCUCUCAAUUCCUACACAUCCCUUAACACUCAUUCUCCAUUGAAUAGGUGGUUACUCUUAGACCUAGUCUUAGAACCUCUGAAGACACACUUUGUAAUUUGUUGUUUGGCUAAAUGAGAAGAAAUCUGUGCCACCCUGGGAAGGUGUCAAAAGAAGGAAAAAUACAUGUGACAAUAUGAAUCAAGUCCAUCAGCAAGUUACUUUUGAGCGCCUACUGUGUGUCAGUGCCUGAGAUACACCUACAAGAGCGCCAGGCUUUCAAGCCUUCAUAUCUGGAUAGAAUCCCAACUUCAGUGCUUGGUGGCUGUCUAUCUUUGGACAAGAUCUUUCAUUCCCCAUCCUUUGAACAUCACAUGACCCAUAUCUGGGUGGAGAAUGGGUGAAAAGUACUGUUCAGAGAUGCAGGUGAGAAAAAACAUGACGAUGGGCCCUGAAUGCCAAGAUUCAUUGGAGCUUUGGAGCUUUAUCUUGUAGGACCUUAUCCUGACUCCCUUAGAAUGUAAGUUCCAAGAGAACAGGGACUUUGUCUGCCUUGUUUUCUACUUUUAUCACCAGCACCCAGAAUGAUGCCUAAAAUACAAUAAGAUCUCAAG